GGCUUUCCCUCUCGUACCCGUAUGUUCGGCAGUCACCCUCAUUGACCCUCUGUUGGAGUCAUGCGUGAAAACCGUUAACGGCAUUCACAGUGGCUCUCUCUCUUAUUUUGUGCGAAUCAUUCGUCGUUUGGAAGCGACCAACUCAGGGGCUUAGUUGAAGAAGGAGCCUUUCCCAGGUUGGGUGUACUUGGUACGGUUCGAAGGUGAAUCGGAGAUCGUCGACGCGGAAGAAGCCAGAAGAUGUCCUACUACUCCUCAUCCCGCAGUUCGUCCAGGGCAACCGACUGCAAGGUCUAUGUGGGUGACCUUGGUAAUGGAGCCGCCAAGGGGGAGUUGGAACGGGCCUUCAGCUACUAUGGCCCACUGAGGACCGUCUGGGUGGCCCGUAACCCACCAGGGUUUGCUUUUGUGGAGUUUGAGGACCCAAGAGAUGCUGAGGAUGCCGUGAAAGGCAUGGAUGGAAAGCUCUUGUGUGGCUCACGUGUACGUGUGGAGAUGUCAACAGGCAUGUCCAGAAAAGGCCGUGGGCGCCCCAGCCGACGUCAGUUCGACCCGAAUGACCGCUGCUACCAAUGUGGGGACCGUGGCCAUUACGCCUACGACUGCUACCGCUUCAGCAAGCGAGGAGGAGGCCGCCGUAGCAGGUCUCGUUCCCGCUCUCGGUCACGCUCCAGGUCUCGAUCUCGAGGACGCCGCUACCGAUCCCGUUCUCACUCUCGCAGCCAUAGCCGCAGCCGGAGCCGUCGUCGCUCUCCAUCCUACUCCAGGCGCAGAAGCAGGUCUGGCUCUCCGGCCCGCUCCAAGUCCAGGACGCCAAUGAGAAGCCGCUCCAGGUCCCGUUCUCGGUCCAGGUCUGCACCAAGAGGGCGCUCUGCCUCCCGUUCCCGCUCUCGAUCCCCCUCGGCCAAUCACAAGAGAAACAGUGUGUGCUGGGAGCUGCGCACUGCGCUGACACUACAGCUGAUCCCAGGCCCAGGGUCUGCCAGCUGGCGGUGUGUACAUCCUGCGGGAGGGUGACUAAGCGCUGACCUGAGAUCAGCCUUCGCCUGGCGUUAGACAGCGAGAACCUCCCCCCGCACAGUGAAUGGGUGACCGUCUGUCCGACCGACGCACACGCUCAGACGAGAUCAGCCCGUGCACUCUUACAAUUGUUCUCCUAGAGUCACCCAAGGCCACCAGCCAGCCGGCAGAUCUACCAGAGCGCCGACACGAACAAUUCAGAGUUCGACCAUUUAAAAUCCAUUACCUACCUACCAGACCCCCUACUACCUACCUCCCAGAGCUCUGCGGCCUCUGUCUUAGCUUCUGAAAAUGAGAGCGAGCUGACCAGAGAUCAGUCUACAAGAGCGUAGUCAUCCGUCCUUCAGUGCUUUCGUCCUUCGCUUCUCUGUACUUGUUGUUUCUGCCAGUGUCUCCAAAGUCGUUCCCGUUCAGCAAGUCAAAACCGAAGUCCAACACCAGCCGCCAACUGAGUGAAGAACAAGACUAAUGCAACACCCUCCCACCAUCCUGUUUCCUACCCCCGUCCGGUUUUAUAACAGCCCUCCACGUUGAUUUCCAUGUCAGGUCGCAUUUAAUUUCGAGAAACAAUGUGCAGUUUGAGAGGACGUUCUUCCAUGGUCUUUCAUGUCGUUUUGUUUUUGGUCCAAGCUAAAUAAUGUAGUGGACUUUUAACCAAUUAAAACACUUUGAGUCCUUAGUAUCAAACAUACUUUGAACCAUCCAUGAAGCAGAUGAACCAGGCCUGUAUUCCUUCAUAAAUUACAUUUCUGUACUGCACCCCACCCCCAUGCACGAAAUGUAUUUCGUGCUUUUGAUUUUCACUUUGUUUUUGUGUAUUUUAAAUUUGGUUUGAGGUGAUUUUUGUGUUUGUUUAUUUUUGGAAGGGCUGCUUGGACAGUUCAGUGCUUCUUUGGUUGUUAAGACAGUGUCAGUUUUAUUUUUAAAUAAAUCUCUCCAACAUAAGUC